AGCUGGUGCUUUCUUUUUGCUUUGUCCUGUGUUGUUAGAGAUGUUUGUGAGCUGCAGAAUUCUGUGUGGUUAUUUGAGUAAGGAUUAAAACGGUAGAAGUCAAAGAUAUUUCAAUAUGUUGAAAUAUCACAGAAUAUAGCCCUAAAUCAAUCAAGUUGAAAACUGUCAGAAACUUAAAUCAGCCAUGUAGGAGGGCCUGGAGGGCUUUUUCUCUCCCCAGGAUAAAUGUGUUUCACAUGGUGACAGACACCCUAAAUCUGGAUUGUUGUUCCACAGAUUAUUUACCUUUGUGGCUCUUCAUCUCUAAAUGGAUAAAGAACCAAAAAUAUCUGCCCUUGGUGAAUCCCAAAUAAUAGAGGAAGGUUAAUGAGCUGAUCAGGAGGGACCUGAGUGGGAAUCAGUUUGCAGGAGCCUAAAUCAGAGUGGCUGUCAGAGGGCACAAGGAGUGUCCAGAGUGGAGUUUCUCAUGGCUGUGCCCUUACUGUGAGGAUGAAAUGUUGAUCUUUAUCAUGUCUGAGCUAUCUGCAGAAUCUCCUUCCUGACUGCUGAGCUUUCUGAACAUAUCCUGCAGCACUGGCACAAAAAAAAAGUUCUAUUUUCUAACUUGGAAAGAUCCAUCCCACCCAGCACUGCAGGCUUUGGAGAAGGUCACAGCCACCAACUUCUUGUCUUCAUCCUGGACUUCAUCCUUCAUGCUGGAGCUGGAGGAAGCUCAAUGAUAAUUUAUAUCAGGAGCUAUAAAUCCCCAGACCACAGGAAAUGGCAUCAUCAAUUUCCAUCAAUUUUACUGCUGCACAAAUAAUGUGCUGCUAUAGUUCUUCCACAGGACAUCAGGGAACAAAUCCACAGCACAGCCCCAACCCCAGAGCAAGCCCAGAGCACAGGAGAGGCCUUUCCCAAGGACUUUCUUCUGGAUAAAAGAGGAAUGAUUCCCAGAUGAUGUUUUCCUGGAUGGAGGAUGCUCGGACUUCCUUUAUUCCGAAAAUAUGAAUUAUUCUAAAGCUCCAAGUGCUGCAGUGUGUGUGCAUCUGUGUUUGUUGGGAAGUCAAAAUACAAACAGUGGAGAGGAUAUCCUCAUUUGUUUUCCAUUCCAGUUUUUAAGUGAUAUGUUAGGAAG